rnacentral:rRNA from 1 species
GAUGAACGCUGGCGGCGUGCCUAAUACAUGCAAGUCGAGCGAAUGGAUUAAGAGCUUGCUCUUAUGAAGUUAGCGGCGGACGGGUGAGUAGCACGUGGGUAACCUGCCCAUAAGACUGGGAUAACUCCGGGAAACCGGGGCUAAUACCGGAUAACAUUUUGAACCGCAUGGUUCGAAAUUGAAAGGCGGCUUCGGCUGUCACUUAUGGAUGGACCCGCGUCGAAUUAGCUAGUUGGUGAGGUAACGGCUCACCAAGGGAACGAUGCGUAGCCGACCUGAGAGGGUGAUCGGCCACGCUGGGACUGAGACACGGCCCAGACUCCUACGGGAGGCAGCAGUAGGGAAUCUUCCGCAAUGGACGAAAGUCUGACGGAGCAACGCCGCGUGAGUGAUGAAGGCUUUCGGGUCGUAAAACUCUGUUGUUAGGGAAGAACAAGUGCUAGUUGAAUAAGCUGGCACCUUGACGGUACCUAACCAGAAGGCCACGGCUAACUACGUGCCAGCCGCCGCGGUAA